rnacentral:sRNA from 1 species
GCAUUCUCUAAGCCUGUGCUCCAACCCAGCUCAUCUCAUGGCUUUCUUUGCCCCACCAGCCUGACUUUUUCUCCAAACUGGCAGCCAUGUUUAGGGGCUUGAUCUUUCACAGCAGCAGGAGCGGUAACCGAGAGCCACCUGACCUCCAUGUACCUGAACGCCCCGGCGCUCGCUCUGCCUGUAGCCAGGACGCAGCUCCCAGGCCCUGGUCUGCGCUCAUUUCAUCCUCUGGCUUCCUCACUGCCCUGUGACUUCCACCUGCUCAACCUACGUACCCUCCAGGCUGAGGAGGACACCCUGCCCUCGGCGGAGACCGCACUCAUCUUACACCGCAAGGGUUUUGACUGCGGCCUGGAGGCCAAGAACUUGGGCUUCAACUGCACCACAAGCCAAGGCAAGGUAGCCCUGGGCAGCCUUUUCCAUGGCCUGGAUGUGGUAUUCCUUCAGCCAACCUCCUUGACGUUACUGUACCCUCUGGCCUCCCCGUCCAACAGCACUGACGUCUAUUUGGAGCCCAUGGAGAUUGCUACCUUUCGCCUCCGCUUGGGUUAGGGCUUCUUGUGGCCUGAAGAGAAAGUUCAUUCACAGAGACUGCCUCUUAACAUGAAGAUCAUUGGACAAGCCACACGGGUAUCCCAUCCUGAUCUGCCUCCCAGAACUGUGACACAUUGGGCUCCGCCCUCAUUUUCUGUUUAUUGCUGCUGCUGUGUUUUGGGCGCAACCCACAAACC